UAAAAAGAUUAGGGUUGGUGAUUUCAGUAGCCAACAGCUAUAGGCACGUUCGGGAAACCGAACAAUGAAAAACCCAUUGCGAAUAUAAUAUCUAUGAUCCCAAGACAAAGUUGCUUUAGGAUCACUAAUUAAAUUCUGUGUCUGAAUGCUUAUCAUUUCUCUGCAUGUAUUUUUGCGAAUUUUCUUAUUCUUUAGAUUAAUGACCAGCGAGCUUAUGUCAACCCUAAACAUGGGUGGGCAUGGCGAUAAAACAGAUAGGAAAGGUGGUGAGAAACAAGAGAAACACAAGACAAGAACACAUCGGUAGCAUUUAUGAACUAUAUUUAUGUUAAAUAUUUUUGUGUGUAUUUAUGUAUAUGUUAAAUGAAUAAAUAUUUUGAAAAAAUGUCCAGCGUUGGGUUUGGGUUGAAUUGACGUAGAAACAUGCAUGUCAAAAUGACGUCAUUACUCCAAUGUCGAUCAUUUGCAUUUUCACCUGCUUUUAAACAUCGAUACAACGUCAAAAAUGAAACAUGGAAACGAAAUGGAUUUCCAGACGUUGAAACGACGUCGAUUCAUAGACGUUGAAACGACGUCGAUUUCCAGACGUUGAAACGACGUCGAUUUCUCAACGUCGAUUCCGUUUGCGUUUUCAAC